UGUAAUACAAGAAUAUGAUUAAAUGUUUCUUUGUAGCAGAUCCUGUUUAUCCCAUUCUAAAAUCAGACCUUUCUAGGGCCAUGUGCAUUUUCUAGUUUCACAUCAACGACUAGUCCAUUAUCUCUCGGCUACAAGCAUCUUGGCUGAGAACAUUAUUCCCACAAUGACCCCAUUUUUAGGUUCUUUGACAAAGAUGCAAAAGAAAUAUAGCUACGUUGGCCAUCCCACAAAGGAGAUGAUGUUCCUCUCUGAGAUAAAGCCCAUUGGAAUUUUUGUGGUACAGACAAAUGAAUAGCAGACAUCAAUGAAGGAUAGCGUGAAGAGGAAAAAGUGUGUGGGGGUAUGAAGAGACCCUACCAGUGCUCAACCUCGAGGGCCCUUCUUUCCCACUGUCUUGAAGGGGGCAAAUCUGAUGAUGCAGCAGGCAAGAGCCAUCAGCACAGUCUUCAGUCUCUGACAAGCUGUAAGAGUUCUUUGGAGAAUUUUCCAUGACUUCUAUUUGAAAACUUGCCCAGAAGGCCCUCUUCACAAGCAAGCAG